UCGAUUGUUCUAGAAACUGACGUCUAUAGAUGUCGGUGUUUCAGGGGAUCCGACGUCUAUGAAGUUGAAAACAUUGACGUUUUGGUUUUCUGUUAGGGUAGUUCACGUCGGUGCCCCUCACAGCCGACGUCUAAAACCCUCGAAUUUGGUAAAAAUACAGGAACUUAGACGUCGGUGCCUAUCGGAACCGACGUCUACAUUGAAGAAUUUUUGUCUUCCCGCCUUCCAGACAGGCCUUAGAUGUCGGCGUUUGACUACGUGACGUUUAAUUGCCUGGGGAAUUAGGUGAACGACAUUAAUUGUAGCCUAGUCGACGUCGCUUUUUCACGGGAUCCGACGUCUAUUCGACGUCUAAAGCUGAACUGGUUGACGUUUGAUUUCUUGUCAGUGACGUAGACGUUGGUGCCCUUGCUAGUCGACGUCUAAGCUCCUGGGAAUUUGAUGGGCAGCAUUAAUUGCAGUCUAGUAGACGUCGGUCCUCGUGAACACCGACGUCAAUGGACUAUCUUAUCACAUACCUCAG
rnacentral:lncRNA from 1 species